CUCAAAGCUGACAUAUUCUUGGUGAUGGAACUGUAGAUAGAAGCUAUAGGGAGAGAUGGAGGAAAUCAUGAGGGGAAGGAGAAUAGGCAAAAUGCCACAGGUUGCAGCAGGGGGUGCACAAUGUUAGCAGGAUUAAAUUUCCUUAGAUCUUUUGUAGAUCAGGAUUGCUUUCCUUGAUCCUACAGGAUCCUUGAGGGAUCACAGGGCAGAGAAUAGAUGUUAUUUUUUGUUGUCCCCAUCUGUCCCCAGCUAUGCAGAAUGGGGCUCUGCAAUGCUUUUUCAGCUGUUCUCUCCCUUUCAUGUGUGUUGCAGACUGGGGAGAGCUACUAAGAACACAGCUGAGUACAAGUACAAAGAAGUCACAAGAAGAGAAGAAUUGUUAUUUUCCACAUGUGGCUAGAUGUGAUGUAGAAGAUGGGCUGCACCAGCUCUGCUCCUGUGCAGCUCUCGUCAGCCUCACACCAGGCUUAAAAUCGUGUGUAUUCCUGGCAGUUGGUUUCUGAUGUAUCUCCAUUGAGGCUGGAACAGAGAACACCUAGGAAAAUUCAUCUGUAGACCUUUCUAAGAUUUUUUUCCAUCCCUUUCAACCCAAUAAACAGCUGGGGG
rnacentral:lncRNA from 1 species